rnacentral:rRNA from 1 species
GGCAAUGGGCGAAAGCCUGACGGAGCGACGCCGCGUGCAGGAUGAAGGCCCUUGGGUUGUAAACUGCUGUCAGAGGGGAUGAAGUCACGGUUGGCUAUCCUUCCGUGUUGACAGAGCCUCAAAGGAAGCACGGGCUAAGUACGUGCCAGCAGCCGCGGUAACACGUACUGUGCGAACGUUAUUCGGAAUCACUGGGCUUAAAGGGUGCGUAGGCGGUUUAUCAAGUCAGGUGUGAAAUGCCAGAGCUCAACUGUGGCACUGCGCUUGAAACUGAUAGACUAGAGGGUUCCAGGGGUAUACGGAACUGCCAGUGGAGCGGUGAAAUGCGUUGAUAUCGGCAGGAACACCAGUGGCGAAGGCGGCAUACUGGGGGACAACUGACGCUGAGGCACGAAAGCUAGGGUAGCGAACGGGAUUAGAUACCCCGGUAGUCCUGGCUGUAAA